rnacentral:rRNA from 1 species
GAUGAACGCUGGCGGCGUGCCUAAUACAUGCAAGUCGAGCGAACGGACGAGAAGCUUGCUUCUCUGAUGUUAGCGGCGGACGGGUGAGUAACACGUGGAUAACCUACCUAUAAGACUGGGAUAACUUCGGGAAACCGGAGCUAAUACCGGAUAAUAUUUUGAACCGCAUGGUUCAAAAGUGAAAGACGGUCUUGCUGUCACUUAUAGAUGGAUCCGCGCUGCAUUCGCUAGUUGGUAAGGUAACGGCUUACCAAGGCAACGAUGCAUAGCCGACCGGAGAGGGUGAUCGCCCACACGGGAACUGAGACACGGUCCAGACUCCUACGGGAGGCAGCAGUAGGGAAUCUUCCGCAGUGGUCGAAAGCCUUACGGAGCAACGCCGCGUGAGUUAUGAAGGUCUUCGGAUCGUAAAACUCUGUUAUUAGGGAAGAACAGAUGUGUAAGUAACUGUGCACAUCUUGACGGUACCUAAUCAGAAAGCCACGGCUAACUACGUG